rnacentral:SRP_RNA from 1 species
GCCAGGCAGGAUGGUACAUGUCUGCAAUCUCAGGAACUGGGGAGCUGAGGCUGGUGGAUCUCUUGAGCUCAGGAGUUCUGAGAUGCAUUGGGCUAAGCUGAUCAGGUGUCUACACUAGGUCCAAUAUCAAUAUGGAAAGCCCUUGGGAAGCAGGUGACUCCUGAGGAGGAGUGAACCAGCCCAGGCUGGAAAUGGAGCAAGUCAAGGCUCCUACAGUGAUAAGUAGUGGGAUAAGGCCCAUGAGUAGUCACUGCAUUAAUAUAGGAAUACCCAGUCUUUC